UGGGGAAUUUUGGACAAUGGGCGAAAGCCUGAUCCAGCAAUGCCGCGUGUGUGAAGAAGGCCUUCGGGUUGUAAAGCACUUUUGUCCGGAAAGAAAUCCUUGGCUCUAAUACAGUCGGGGGAUGACGGUACCGGAAGAAUAAGCACCGGCUAACUACGUGCCAGCAGCCGCGGUAAUACGUAGGGUGCAAGCGUUAAUCGGAAUUACUGGGCGUAAAGCGUGCGCAGGCGGUUUGCUAAGACCGAUGUGAAAUCCCCGGGCUCAACCUGGGAACUGCAUUGGUGACUGGCAGGCUAGAGUAUGGCAGAGGGGGGUAGAAUUCCACGUGUAGCAGUGAAAUGCGUAGAGAUGUGGAGGAAUACCGAUGGCGAAGGCAGCCCCCUGGGCCAAUACUGACGCUCAUGCACGAAAGCGUGGGGAGCAAACAGGAUUAAAUACCCUGGUAGUCCACGCCCUAAACGAUGUCAACUAGUUGUUGGGGAUUCAUUUUCCUUAGUAACGUAGCUAACGCGUGAAGUUGACCGCCUGGGGGAGUACGGUCGCAAGAUU
rnacentral:rRNA from 1 species